GAGCUGAUUAAUGUUGCCAGUUGCUUUGACAGUGUCAAACCUAACAGUUUUAGAAUGACAUGGCCAAUAUACCAGCACAGACUUUCACUUUAUUAAUUUUAUU
rnacentral:lncRNA from 1 species